rnacentral:rRNA from 1 species
AGGACGAACGCUGGCGGCACGCUAACACAUGCAAGUCGAACGGAGAAUUUUGGUUACUGAGAAUUCUAGUGGCGGACGGGUGAGUAACACGUGAGCAACCUACCUCAGAGAGAGGGAUAGCUUCUGGAAACGGAUGGUAAUACCUCAUAACAUAACUGAAAGGCAUCUUUUGGUUAUCAAAGAUUUAUCACUCUGAGAUGGGCUCGCGUCUGAUUAGAUAGUUGGUGAGGUAACGGCUCACCAAGUCGACGAUCAGUAGCCGGACUGAGAGGUUGAACGGCCACAUUGGGACUGAGACACGGCCCAGACUCCUACGGGAGGCAGCAGUGGGGAAUAUUGCACAAUGGGGGAAACCCUGAUGCAGCGAUGCCGCGUGGAGGAAGAAGGUUUUCGGAUUGUAAACUCCUGUCUUAAAGGACGAUAAUGACGGUACUUUAGGAGGAAGCUCCGGCUAACUACGUGCCAGCAGCAGC